rnacentral:rRNA from 1 species
UACGUAGGCAGCGAGCGUUGUUCGGAGUUACUGGGCGUAAAGGGUGUGUAGGCGGUUCUCUAAGUUUGGUGUGAAAUCUCCCGGCUCAACCGGGAGGGUGCGCCGAAAACUGGGGGACUAGAGUGCGGGAUGGGAGAGUAGAAUUCCUGGUGUAGCGGUGAAAUGCGUAGAUAUCAGGAGGAAUACCGGUGGUGUAGACGGCUCUCUGGACCGCAACUGACGCUGAGGCGCGAAAGCCAGGGGAGCAAACGGG